AAAUUGAAGAGUUUGAUCAUGGCUCAGAUUGAACGCUGGCGGCAGGCCUAACACAUGCAAGUCGAACGGUAACAGAAAUCAGCUUGCUGAUUUGCUGACGAGUGGCGGACGGGUGAGUAAUGUCUGGGAAACUGCCUGAUGGAGGGGGAUAACUACUGGAAACGGUAGCUAAUACCGCA
rnacentral:rRNA from 1 species